rfam:Gossypium arboreum cultivar AKA8401 contig_453_13, whole genome shotgun sequence.
AAUAGUUUUAUGCCACAUCAGUAUUCUUAUCCUGAAUUUUAGGAUUUUAUCCUGAAAAAAAUUAAAUUCAAAUUAAAAUACUGAAAUUCAGGAUAAACUUCUGAAAUUCAGGAUAAGAAUACUGAUGUGGCAUAAAACUAUU